GUGAAACCUUCUCUGUGUGUAAAAAUGAAAUCAGCGAAUGUAUAUAUGGAGCUGUGAAAAUAGUGAAACCGGCUCACAGCUGAAGUAAUUCCUCAGGAGGUGGACUGCUCCAAAUACAAGAGAAGGCUCCAAGAUCAUAUGCACAAAGGAGCUGCAACCAAUUUGUGGCACAGAUCAGAGAACUUAUAGUAAUGAAUGUGUAUUUUGCAUGCUAAACCAAGGCAAAGGACUUCAAGCCAGAAAACUUCAUGAUGGUAAAUGUAUUGAGAGUACCGAAUACUCUGACAUAUGUACCUUGGAAUACAUGCCUUUCUGUGGACUGAUGGACAUGAAUAUCCCAACAAAUGUUUGUUUUGCAAUGCUGUUGUGAAGAGUCAUGGUGCCAUUUUUUUUGGCAAAUUACAGACAGUGCUGAGUCACCCUGAGGCUGCAGGAUGCAUGUUCCCUUUGGGACAUUCCAUGCACAGAACUGGUUUCUCCAGGAUGGCUGAGGUGGCAAAUAUGUGGACUUGACUCUUCAAUAAAAGAUUCUCAG